GAUUUCAACUGAAAAAGUCAUCAACAACAAAGUUGUAUAACUCAUAAAGAUCUAGAACUUUUAUUUUGGUCAUUUCUUCAUCCGACAAAGUGAUUUAUAAGAUAGUUCACAAAAUGAACAUAUCUCUUAUAUAGUUCAUAAAACUUUUAGAGAGAUAUGUUCAUUUUGUGAACAAUCUUACAAAUCACUUUGUCGGAUGAAUAAAUGACCAAAAUAAAAGUUAUAGAUCUUGAUGAGUUAUACCACUUUGUUAUAGAUGACUUUUUCUGUUGAAAUC
rnacentral:pre_miRNA from 1 species